rnacentral:rRNA from 1 species
GACGAACGCUGGCGGCGUGCUUAACACAUGCAAGUCGAGCGGUAAGGCCCUUCGGGGUACACGAGCGGCGAACGGGUGAGUAACACGUGGGUGACCUGCCUCUAGCUCUGGGAUAAGCCUGGGAAACUGGGUCUAAUACCGGAUAUGACUCCACGGCGCAUGUUGUGGGGUGGAAAGCCUUGUGUGGCUAGAGAUGGGCCCGCGGCCUAUCAGCUUGUUGGUGGGGUGAUGGCCUACCAAGGCGACGACGGGUAGCCGGCCUGAGAGGGCGACCGGCCACACUGGGACUGAGACACGGCCCAGACUCCUACGGGAGGCAGCAGUGGGGAAUAUUGGACAAUGGGCGAAAGCCUGAUCCAGCCAUGCCGCGUGAGUGAUGAAGG